rnacentral:rRNA from 1 species
GAUGAACGCUGGCGGCGUGCUUAACACAUGCAAGUCGAACGUGAAGAAGCAGCAAUGUUUCUGAAAGUGGCGGACGGGUGAGUAACACGUGGGUGACCUGCCUUGCAGAGGGGGAUAACGAGGGGAAACCUUCGCUAAUACCGCAUAGGCUUACACUGAUGGGAAUGGUGUGGGUAAAACUGAGGUGCUGCAAGAGGGGCCUGCGUCCGAUUAGCUAGUUGGUGAGGUAAUGGCUCACCAAGGCGAUGAUCGGUAGCUGGUCUGAGAGGACGAUCAGCCACACGGGAACUGAGAAACGGUCCCGACGUCCUACGGGGGGCAGCAGUGAGGAAUAUUGGGCAAUGGACGAAAGUCUGACCCAGCAACGCCGCGUGGAGGAUG